rnacentral:rRNA from 3 species
GCGACCCCAGGAUGGGCGAGGCCACCCGCCGAGUUUA